rnacentral:rRNA from 1 species
UACCAGCACCCCGAGUGGUCGGGACGAUUAUUGGGCCUAAAGCAUCCGUAGCCGGUUCUGCAAGUCCCCCGUUAAAUCCAGCUGCUCAACAGAUGGGCCGCGGAGGAUACUCCAGAGCUAGGAGGCAGGAGAGGCAAGCGGUACUCAGUGGGUAGGGGUAAAAUCCGUUGAUCCAUUGAAGACCACCAGUGGCGAGGGCGGCUUGCCAGAAUGCGCUCGACGGUGAGGGAUGAAAGCUGGGGGAGCAAACCGG